UCCAGGCCCCGCCCCCCGGCGCUGCCUCGUCUCGGGUCUCUCGGAGGAGCAGCUGCGGCUCCGCUCCGGGGUCUGUGCUGGGGGGGCCCGUCAUUAACCCCCCCGUGCCCGGCCGGGGGGGGCUUUCUCCAGCUGGGACCAGCCCCUGGCUCUGCCCGCCCCCGACCCGGGAAAGAGCCUGGGGGAAGCGUGAUGUGAAAUGAACUAAUGCCCGUUCCCAAACCUCCACAAUGGCCCUUCUCGCCCGGCCAGGCUGCAGAACGACGCUCACGUUUCGUUCCGGUUCAUCCCGUCCUCCCAUGGGACAAGGGAGCGACAUGGCUGCAGAGGAGCCAGCUCAGGGGCCGGUGACCUUCGAGGAGGUGGCUGUGUAUUUCACCAGGGAAGAGGGGGCUCUGCUGGACCCCGCUCAGAGAGCCCUCUACAGAGACGUCAUGCAGGAGACCUAUGAGACUGUGACCUCGCUGGGUAAGGGUUCCUGUCCCCUCGGUUCUUGGAAGGGGAACGGAAGAGAUGAGGUUCACGCCACCCCCACAAUGCCACCUCUGCUCUGUCCUGUUCCAGCAUCACCCCAGCAUGCCAGUGACACACACACGACCAGAGAC